UACGAGUGGUGCAAACGUUAUUCGGAAUCACUGGGCUUAAAGGGUGCGUAGGCGGCUGCAAAAGUCAGGUGUGAAAUCCCUCGGCUCAACCGAGGAACUGCGCUUGAAACUUUGCAGCUUGAGGGAGACAGAGGUGAGCGGAACUGAUGGUGGAGCGGUGAAAUGCGUUGAUAUCAUCAGGAACACCGGUGGCGAAAGCGGCUCGCUGGGUCUUUUCUGACGCUGAGGCACGAAAGCUAGGGGAGCAAACGGG
rnacentral:rRNA from 1 species